CGCACAAGCGGUGGAGCAUGUGGUUUAAUUCGAAGCAACGCGAAGAACCUUACCAGGUCUUGACAUCUUUUGAUCACCUGAGAGAUCAGGUUUCCCCUUCGGGGGCAAAAUGACAGGUGGUGCAUGGUUGUCGUCAGCUCGUGUCGUGAGAUGUUGGGUUAAGUCCCGCAACGAGCGCAACCCUUAUGACUAGUUGCCAGCAUUUAGUUGGGCACUCUAGUAAGACUGCCGGUGACAAACCGGAGGAAGGUGGGGAUGACGUCAAAUCAUCAUGCCCCUUAUGACCUGGGCUACACACGUGCUACAAUGGAUGGUACAACGAGUUGCGAGACCGCGAGGUCAAGCUAAUCUCUUAAAGCCAUUCUCAGUUCGGACUGUAGGCUGCAACUCGCCUACACGAAGUCGAAUCGCAGAUCGCAGCUGAUC
rnacentral:rRNA from 2 species